rnacentral:tRNA from 1 species
UCGGCCAUGUCCGGUCCUCCAGGGUGGGGGCUGGGACCCCCCAUUCUGCCCGUUCCGCACGGGUGGCCGGGC